GGUGAACGCCUUCUCAGAGCCUUGGUGGCUGGUGAACGCCUUCUCAGAGCCUUGGUGGCAUAUUGGGUAGGAUAGGGAGGGAGGAUUGGUGAACGCCUUCUCAGAGCCUUGGUGGAAUAUUGGGUAGGAUAGGGAGGGAGGAUUGGUGAACGCCUUCUCAGAGCCUUGGUGUGGAAUAUUGGGUAGGAUAGGGAGGGAGGAUUGGUGAACGCCUUCUCAGAGCCUUGGUGGAAUAUUGAGUAGGACAGGG
rnacentral:lncRNA from 1 species